ACAUGUCUUUUUAGUAUUUAAUAUAAAGUCUGGUCUGCCCACUGAAUAAUAUUUGAAGGGCCGCAGUAUUUUGACUGUGCAAAGGUAGCAUAAUCAUUAGUCUUUUAAUUGAAGGCUGGUAUGAAUGGUCGGAUGAGAUAUAAGCUGUGUCAAAAAAAUUAUUAUUUGAAUUUAACUUUUUAGUCAAAAGGCUAAAAUAAAUUUAAAAGACGAGAAGACCCUAUAGAGCUUUAUAUAAUAAAUAUUUAAAUUAUUAAGAUUUAUUAAAUUUAAUUUUUAUAUUGUAUUUUGUUGGGGUGACAAUAAAAUUUAUAAAACUUUUAUUUUUAUUUAACAUUAAUUUAUGAUUAUAUGAUCCAAUUUUAUUGAUUAUAAAUUUAAGUUACCUUAGGGAUAACAGCGUAAUUUUUUUUGAGAGUUCUUAUCGACAAAAAAGAUUGCGACCUCGAUGUUGGAUUAAGAGUAAUUUUGGGUGUAGAAGUUCAAAAUUUAAGUCUGUUCGACUUUUGAAUUCUUACAUGAUC
rnacentral:rRNA from 1 species